UCGUUAGAUCCUAAUAUAAAACAAAAGCCUCUCUCAUUUAGCGCAAGAAACCAGAUGGAGCCGACUGCGCAUCUCUCUCUUGUCCCAUUUCAUCUAAUCUCAUGUUUCCUCUUCUUCUCCUUUUUCUUUAAGCCUUGAUUUAGUUUCUUACCAUGCUCUCAGUAAAAUGAUGGCAACGACUUUUGUCAAUAGUGUACUCUAUCUACACAGACAAAGUAUCUCCAAUAAUUGAACUCUAAAGAAUGCACUGUUGAGAUGUGAUAUAUGAUCACGUUUGAUAAAUUGAAAGUGGGCAGUUUAGUCCCUAUUUUUCCUACUUGAUUCUAGCAUAUAUUUAUUGACACCACACACAUAAUCUCUUGGUUAAAUUUACCGAAGUUCCAUCUAGGUCAGAAAGCAUUUAACAUAAAUUCCAGAGAUGGCAAUUCUGAGAUUUUUUUUGUCUAUUCAUGCUCUUAUGGUAGCUUGGACUGUAGUGUAAUCUUCUGGUUGUUGAUUACAGUGUUAUGAUAUAAAUGAACUUCUCCUAAACAUUUCAGGUGAUACCUCUUUCACAAUGGAUUGAAGAAAUACAGACUCCAAAUGCUAUUUUGUCGAAGCACCAAGUAUCUUCAAGAUGGGAGGCUCUUUCCUACAAGAAAGAUGCAGGCUACGAAGAAAGUAAUGGGAAGGAUUUUUGAGAGUUAGCCAACCCAAUAGUUUGAAGACAGCAAGUUGUAAAUUAUCUUCUUUUAUACAAUAAUUUUCUAUUAUUUAAGAGGAGUGUAAGAUAAUGUUUAUUUGAUGGGCAAUAUGUAAAUGAAAAUUUUUCUUCGAUUUAUUACAAUGAUGUGUUUUGUCUAUUUGAUAUGGAUUAAUAAAAUUAUAUUAAUGUCAUGUUGGCC
rnacentral:lncRNA from 1 species